rnacentral:misc_RNA from 1 species
CAACACAUAGAAACGUAUAGCGGUAUCUGUAGGCCGUAGAUAUCUAUAUAUAGUGUCCCCCUUUCUAUUCUCUCUUUCCCUUACAGCGAGCUGCCACCGUCACAGUGCGUAUCGGAGGCGUCCCCUACUUCUUCGUAUCUCGUCCUCUUUCACGAGGCGCUGUCCAAGACUCGCACACGCAGGCAUCCGCCAGCACUCACAUUUGUGGUGUCGCGACAGACUCGCUCUCUUCCUGCCCCCCUCACCCUCUCCCAACAGACGCUCUCUGUGUGUCUCUCGUCCUCUUUAGCAUUUUUUGUUGCUUUCCAGCCUCGAAAGCGUGGCGGCCCUUCUUGCGUCACCACCACGGCGCUUUCCAUUUGUUUUGCGCGACUGCCCCCCCCCCCCGACCUAACCCUUCGCCCCCUAAGCCCUGCUCGAUCUUCUCUCUUUGGCGCUCUGCCUCUCGACCCCUUCUUGUAUUUUUUUUUCGCGUUGUGUUGUUUACCUUUUCCCCCUAUCGUGGCUGUCUUGUGUGUGCGCGUAGUCCCUUCGUUCGGGAAACUGGGUGCGUUACGCUGUGUUGCCUCCGCUAAAUCGUGCUCUUCGUGAGGGUGCACCCACUCCCCCCAGCCUACUCCCCUGCUGUGCACGUCAUCGGCCAGGAAAAGUCAAACAUUGCUGUUCUCGCCUCAACCCCUCUCGCGUGUCUCAGUCGUUGUUCUUGUAGUGUAUGGGUCUUUGGCUUGCCCUACAGCGCCCCCUCCCUUUUUUUCUGCUUCCUUGUGCACGGUUUUCUGACGCUCUUUUCGCGUGCGUACAGGGAGUCGGCUCGUGCCGGUGCUCGUUUCUCAGCGUGCAUCUGCGGUGCCUGACGCCGUCUCAGGUCUUCCUCUCUCUGUAUCUCUCCGAUUUGCAUGAUUGUGCCCUUGCAACGGCAACGGUUUCGGCCUCGCGCUUCUUUUCGUGUCUUCUCGAUCUCAAUUGUCUGCGCGACUGCUUAGACGUAUCGUCGGUGUCGUGUGUUCCUCACGAGGGUGUCGAAUUCAUUGAUUGAUUACGCUCUGUGUUGUUUGCUUCUCUCGAAUCUUUUUUGUGUGUGUUUUAUCGGCUUCUGUUGUUGUAAACUUCUGCAGAUUUUGCAGUGGGUGUGAGUGCUUCAUCUGUUUUUUUUUUUCAGUGCGCGCGGGGCGGGGUGUAUGCGUUUGCGUUUGUGCAGGCUCUCAUUGUCAGUACUCUCUCACGCGAACAUCUCCUGCAGCUAACACUGAUCAUUCACACGUUUGUUGCGUGUAGCCCAUCUUGGGUAACUGGAGACUAGUUUUCUUCUCCCUGUGCGGUAUAGGCUUGCUGGUGUUUCUUUCUUCGGCAUUUUCUCCCGAAUAGCAGUUCUCUGCUGCGGUUCUCUCUGAAUACGUCGAUAAUCCACUUUAUUCGCAUAUUGGCUCUCGCGGUGUGCACACGGGGGCGCCUUCCGCUGUCUCUCACGCGCGAUACGCAGGAAGUGCAGCAACGGUAGAGCUCGAUUUGUGGGAACAAAGAAAACAACAACAAAAGGGAAAACUACCAACAACUGCCUGGCAACGAAACAUUGCCUCGCAGACGCCUCACCACAGAGUCACUAAGUGGGUCUUCUGCAUCCACUCAACACCUUGGCGCCUUUUGAACCGCGCAUCGCUUCACUUCCUUCUUUUGAAGCUACAUGAUUCAGCCCCCCCCGUCGCUUUCUCAAAUUUUGUUUCCUUCGCAAAUUCGUUUUCUAGCGUAUUGUUUCCUUCUUUUUUUUUCGCGUGUGCGUGUGCACGGACGUGUGUGUGUGUGCCGGUGUCUUCUCUUUCGCCAUUUUUUGUUGAUAGGCUGUUGGUGUUGUUGUUCGUGGCGGCUUCGGAGCGCUCUGUGCAUGGACUCCGUCUGCCUCCUUCCCUUUGUGCGUGUGUGUGAGUGUGUGUCUUUUACCCCUCCUUUUUCCCUGCUGAUCCUCACCCUCGCGUGUCUUUAGAGGCCCCGUCUGCGUUCCAGGCUUGCGUAGGCACCUCCUCCGACCGAAAGGCGAACGCCCAUCAGGUCUCAGCCCUCCAUCGCUCCGCCACUCCUCCUGCUCUCCCCCUUGGGCGCUUCGUUCGAGUGCGGUUCUGGUCGGCGUCCUCGCGCCUGAGUUUGCGUCUACAGGAGCGUUGUCAAUCUCGAUUUCCAACGCUUCAUCCGAAUCGGCCUGUACUUUGGCCCCGUCUAGACUGUGCCGCUGCACUCCGCCUGUCCGUCUUAAUCGCGUGCUUUCUCUACACCGGCAGCUGCUCACGCGUCUUUUUCGUGGGCGCGGGUACACUUCGCUUUCUGUACGUCUGGAUAGGUGUGCGCUCUGCUCCCUUUCUGAUUUCUGUCGUGCCCCGGCUCCUGCACGCUCUACCUCUGACCCUCUUUCUCUCUCGUUCGCUGGGCUGGCAGGUCCCUUGUCUAGGUGCGCUUCUUUUUGCGUUGUGUAUCUGUAGUCUGGCUCAUAUCAAUAAGAUUCGUCUAACUGGGUGUGUGCGUGUGUAUAUAUCCCCGUGUGCGUCCGUCUCCCACCCACUCGUCCGCCUUUGCCCUAUUCCUCUGCUGUUUCUGCGUUGUGGUGUUGUCGUGUCGGUUCGUGUGUGCUCAUUUGUUUUUGCUUAGCGCUUCGUCGCUCCUUUGUUUUAGUGUGGCUGUCUCGGUGCACUGGCUGUGGUGCCGGGCCUCGACUACGGACCCGUUUCUCGCUGGUGCUGUUGUGGCGGUGGAGGGGGUAUCAGCUCAUCGGCAUUCGUAUGCGGUUUUACUGCUCACCGUACUCAUCCGCACUCUCCAAUUUUUGACAUUCGUGACUUGUGUGUCCCACUCAACUCUACUCCCUCUGCGUCGAGUCACGCUCUCGCCCGGGCGCUGUCGUUCCCACGACGCCCACUCCUGCAUUGACUUCUUGUCAG